rnacentral:rRNA from 1 species
GGAUUAGUGGCGAACGGGUGAGUAACACGUGAGUAACCUGCCCUUGACUCUGGGAUAAGCGCUGGAAACGGCGUCUAAUACCGGAUACGACCUGCCCCGGCAUCGGGUGCGGGUGGAAAGUUUUUCGGUCAAGGAUGGACUCGCGGCCUAUCAGCUAGUUGGUGAGGUAAUGGCUCACCAAGGCGACGACGGGUAGCCGGCCUGAGAGGGUGACCGGCCACACUGGGACUGAGACACGGCCCAG